UACGUAGGUGGCAAGCGUUGUCCGGAUUUACUGGGCGUAAAGGGAGCGUAGGCGGAUACUUAAGUGGGAUGUGAAAUACCUGGGCUUAACUUGGGUGCUGCAUUCCAAACUGUGUGUCUAGAGUGUUGGAGAGGAAAGUGGAAUUCCUAGUGUAGCGGUGAAAUGCGUAGAGAUUAGGAAGAACACCAGUGGCGAAGGCGACUUUCUGGACAAUAACUGACGCUGAGGCUCGAAAGCGUGGGGAGCAAACAGGAUGAGAUACCCUGGUAGUCCACGCCGUAAACGAUGGGUACUAGGUGUAGGAGGUAUCGACUACUCCUGUGCCGCCGUUAACACAAUAAGUACCCCGCCGGGGGAGUACGGUCGCAAGAUUAAA
rnacentral:rRNA from 1 species